rnacentral:tRNA from 1 species
GCUCCCUUCGUCUAGUGGUCAAGGACGAGAGCUUCUCGAGCUCUAAACUCGGGUUCAAAUCCCGGAGGGAGCG